UUGAUAGGAAAGUCUGGAGGUCUAGUACAGGGUUGUAGGAUAGGUGUUUCUAGAAUUUUCGUACUCAUUUCCCGGGAUUGGGUGGGGCUCUCCAUAGAUAACCCAUAUAUUGGGCUGUGUCCCCUUACGGUAGUUAUUUAUCGUAGUUAUUGUUUGAUAUUAUUGCAUGAUACUCCUUUCCCGGGGGUGGAUGGGGCUUGGUAGGGCUCUCCAUAGAUGAUUCAUGUAUUGGACUGUACCCUUAUGGUAGUUAUUUAUCGUAGUUAUUGUUUGAUAUUAUUGCAUGCCAUUUUAUUUAUGGUUCUUAUGUUUAGACAAUUAUUUAUGUUAUUU
rnacentral:lncRNA from 1 species